UGCGUAGGCGGCUUCUUAAGUCGGAUGUGAAAUCCCUGAGCUUAACUUAGGAAUUGCAUUCGAUACUGGGAAGCUAGAGUAUGGGAGAGGAUGGUAGAAUUCCAGGUGUAGCGGUGAAAUGCGUAGAGAUCUGGAGGAAUACCGAUGGCGAAGGCAGCCAUCUGGCCUAAUACUGGCGCUGAGGUACGAAAGCAUGGGGAGCAAACA
rnacentral:rRNA from 1 species